rnacentral:rRNA from 1 species
AACCUCCGCAAUGUGAGAAAUCGCGACGGGGGGAUCCCAAGUGCCAUUCUUAACGGGAUGGCUUUUCAUUAGUGUAAAGAGCUUUUGGAAUAAGGGCUGGGCAAGACCGGUGCCAGCCGCCGCGGUAACACCGGCAGCUCUAGUGGUAGCAGUUUUUAUUGGGCCUAAAGCGUCCGUAGCCGGUUUAAUAAGUCUCUGGUGAAAUCCUGUAGCUUAACUGUGGGAAUUGCUGGAGAUACUAUUAGACUUGAGACCGGGAGAGGUUAGAGGUACUCCCAGGGUAGAGGUGAAAUUCUGUAAUCCUGGGAGGACCGCCUGUUGCGAAGGCGUCUAACUGGAACGGUUCUGACGGUGAGGGACGAAAGUUAGGGGCGCGGAACCGGAUUAGAUACCCGGGUAGUCCUAACUGUAAACGAUGCGGACUUGGCGUUGGGGUGGCUUUGAGCUGCUCCAGUGCCGAAGGGAAGCUGUUAAGUCCGCCGCCUGGGAAGUACGGUCGCAAGACUGAAACUUAAAGGAAUU